rnacentral:rRNA from 1 species
UUAGAGUUUGAUCCUGGCUCAGAAUCACGCUGGCGGCGUGCUUCAGACAUGCAAGUCGAACGCGAAAGUUUCCUUCGGGAGACGAGUAGAGUGCGCACGGGUGAGUAACACGUAGGUAAUCUACCUUUGAGUGGGGAAUAACGUUCGGAAACGGACGCUAAUACCGCAUAAUGCAGCGGCAUCUAUUGAUGACAGUUGUUAAAGGAGCAAUCCGCUUAAAGAGGAGCCUGCGGCAGAUUAGCUAGUUGGUAAGGUAAUGGCUUACCAAGGCUACGAUCUGUAUCCGACCUGAGAGGGUGGUCGGACACACUGACACUGAAUAACGGGUCAGACUCCUACGGGAGGCAGCAGUCGGGAAUUUUGGGCAAUGGGCGCAAGCCUGACCCAGCAACGCCGCGUGAAGGAUGAAGUCUUUCGGGAUGUAAACUUCGUAAGAAUGGGAAGAAUCAAUGACGGUACCAUUUGUAAGGUCCGGCUAACUACGUGCCAGCAGCCGCGGUAAUACGUAGGGACCAAGCGUUGUUCGGAUUUACUGGGCGUAAAGGGCGCGUAGGCGGCAGAUCAAGUCAGCUGUGAAAUCUCAGGGCUUAACCCUGAACGGUCAGCUGAUACUGUUUUGCUAGAGUACAGAAGGGGCAACCGGAAUUCUUGGUGUAGCGGUGAAAUGCGUAGAUAUCAAGAGGAACACCUGAGGCGAAGGCGGGUUGCUAGGCUGAUACUGACGCUGAGGCGCGAAAGCUAGGGUAGCAAACGGGAUUAGAUACCCCGGUAGUCCUAGCCCUAAACGAUGUAUGUUUGGUGUCUGGAGUUUCAAUUCUCUGGGUGCCGUCGCUAACGCUGUUAACAUACCGCCUGGGGAGUACGCACGCAAGUGUGAAACUCAAAGGAA